GUGGAGUCAGAGUGUGUGAGUGUGUGUGUGUGUGUGUGUGUGUACAUGUACACGCACACGUAAACACACACACACACAC
rnacentral:miRNA from 1 species